rnacentral:lncRNA from 1 species
AAUGUUAUUCUUUCUACGUUGUAACCUUUGCAAGUAUAGCAUUUGAAGUUUAGUUGCCAGUGAUGUGUGUCUCAAGUCUUCUUGAAGUAGAUGAGAUUCACUUCCUUCCUUUAAAUAUGAGGAAGCCAAGGCAAGGAGAAGAAAAGUGAAUUAACUAAGGAGAGAAAGCUAAGAGCAAAGUUCCUUGCUGAGUUUAGGAUAAAGAGACAGACGAGGAGGAACCCAAUUACUAGGGGACACCAUUAGGAUGAAAGAGCAGAAGUAUGGAAAUGGGAAUGGGGAACUGUAUCCACCCAUAGAAUUGUCAACAGGUAUGCACGUAGCAUCUGCGAUUCCGGGAGAGCUGACAGGCUAGGAGCCAGCUGUAGCUUACACUUGAAAAUAAUAAUAAUAUCCACUUAGGGGUAUGGAAUUAUUUAUCACCACUGGUGGAAUUUUUGCCAAAGGCAAGAAAUGAAAACAUCCGAUGAAAAAUGUCCUCAGUCCACAGCCCAUUACACUGACACACCGUACAAACUGAUUAACUCUCUGGCCAAGAAUAAACAGUACUAUAGUUACUACUGAAAUGUUAAUGUGUUCAAUGACGAUCAAGCCCCAGGCUCUACUGAGCAUUCUACAUAAUGUACAGUAUAUUGCAUUUAAAAUUUUGCAAACUCCUGAAUUACAAAAUACAUUUGGCUCCAUGUUUGAGGAUAGGCAAUUCUAGAUCUACAAAAGAAAAAAUGGACAAGGCAAAUCAGAAAGCAAGCAUUAUUCACGAAAGCCAAGAUAUGGAAAUAACCUAAGUGUCCAUCAACGGAUAAAUAAAGAAAAUGUGCCACACGUA